rnacentral:rRNA from 1 species
GAUAACGAACGAGACCUUAACCUGCUAAAUAGCCAGGCCCGCUUUGGCGGGUCGCCGGCUUCUUAGAGGGACUAUCGGCUCAAGCCGAUGGAAGUUUGAGGCAAUAACAGGUCUGUGACGCCCUUAGAUGUUCUGGGCCGCACGCGCGCUACACUGACAGAGCCAACGAGUUCAUUUCCUUAGCCGAAAGGUUUGGGUAAUCUUGUUAAACUCUGUCGUGCUGGGGAUAGAGCAUUGCAAUUAUUGCUCUUCAACGAGGAAUGCCUAGUAAGCGCAUGUCAUCAGCAUGCGUUGAUUACGUCCCUGCCCUUUGUACACACCGCCCGUCGCUACUACCGAUUGAAUGGCUC